GACGAACGCUGGCGGCGUGCUUAACACAUGCAAGUCGAACGGAAAGGCCCUGCUUUUGUGGGGUGCUCGAGUGGCGAACGGGUGAGUAACACGUGAGUAACCUGCCCUUGACUUUGGGAUAACUUCAGGAAACUGGGGCUAAUACCGGAUAGGAGCUCCUGCUGCAUGGUGGGGGUUGGAAAGUUUCGGCGGUUGGGUGUGGACUCGCGGCUUAUCGGCUUGUUGGUUGGGUAGUGGCUUACCAAGGCUUUGACGGGUAGCCGGCCUGAGAGGGUGACCGGCCAGAUUGGGUGUGAGAUACGGCCCAGACUCCUACGGGAGGGAACAGUGGGGAAUAUUGCACAAUGGGCGGAAGCCUGAUGCAGCAACGCCGCGCGCGGGAUGACGGCCUUCGGGUUGUAAACCGCUUUCGCCUGUGACGAAGCGUGAGUGACGGUAAUGGGUAAAGAAGCACCGGCUAACUACGU
rnacentral:rRNA from 1 species